CGAGACCCAAGGGCAGGGGCGUGGCGAGAGACGGGGUCUGAGGACGUAGGCUGGCGUGCAGGAGGCGGGGCCUGUCUACAGGGGUUUUGGAAAGCUGGCCCUAAGGGGCUGGGCCGUGGCGGGAGCAUUCGCUGUCAUUUGCCACGUACGACUCAGUACCUUUGGCUGACAUGGUGGCGGUCCGCGAAGAUGCCCCAACACAUCUCUAACUCCUAGGAAGGCAACGCAAAGAAUCACAAACCAGCCAUCUAAAAGCGAUAAUCAAAAUGUUGGGACUAUAACCUCUAACUUGGGCCCAUGGGGAUCCCUUUGUGGUAAGUGUGCUGUGUCAUCAACAGAGACAAACUCAUUUGUGUCUUUCUGCAAUGUCAGAAUUUAUGGAAUAACAAUAAACUCACAGGAUACUCCACUUUCA